CUAAAUGAAUUGACGGGGACCCGCACAAGCGGUGGAUGAUGUGGUUUAAUUCGAUGCAACGCGAAAACCUUACCCACCUUUGACAUGUACGGAAGCCUUUAGAGAUAGAGGCGUGCUCGAAAGAGAGCCGUAACACAGGUGCUGCAUGGCUGUCGUCAGCUCGUGUCGUGAGAUGUUGGGUUAAGUCCCGCAACGAGCGCAACCCUUGUCAUUAGUUGCUACAUUCAGUUGGGCACUCUAAUGAGACUGCCGGUGACAAGCCGGAGGAAGGUGGGGAUGACGUCAAGUCCUCAUGGCCCUUAUAGGUGGGGCUACACACGUCAUACAAUGGCUGGUACAAAGGGUUGCCAACCCGCGAGGGGGAGCUAAUCCCAUAAAGCCAGUCGUAGUCCGGAUCGUAGUCUGCAACUCGACUACGUGAAGUCGGAAUCGCUAGUAAUCGUGGAUCAGAAUGUCACGGUGAAUACGUUCCCGGGUCUU
rnacentral:rRNA from 1 species